CGUAUAAAAUUGAUCUGUGCUUUGUACCAGAGGAAAUAACUUCUAGCUAAGAUCGCAGUUUAACUUACUAUACAAUUCUACAUUUAUUGUUUGUUCCAGUAGGCUUUGCUCAAAUAUAUAGUCGACCAUGUUGCUAACGGGCGCUGCCGUGCGGUCUCAGAUUGCCUCCAUUGUUGACGUACUCUCCAAAGCAGCAGUAGCAGAAAUAAGCAAAGUGGUCGACGAUAGCAUGGUUGUGUUACGAUUGGAAAUGAGUCAACGUGAAAAUGAGAUAAAGACCUUGAAAAAUAAUAUAGAAAUACUUCAUAAUGAAUUAAGAACUGCGCAUGGAACGGAAGAAAGACCACCGCUUCAUUUUAGAUCUGUUGAGAAUCAUCAUGCAAGAGAAGGUCCAGAAGGAGAGAAUGUAAAGGAAGCAUUGUCAUCUGGAAGGGACACGUUGGUGAAAGCGGAGCCUGGUCAAACUGUUGAAGCAAGCAAAGAGACAAGAGCACAGCAUCUGGAUGAUGCACUGGCAAUGUUUGAGAGAGAAAGAUAUCGGUGGACGACCAAAACGCACACAGAAAAUGAUGAAAAUUCAGAAUAUUAUCACAAUUCAGGGGAGAGCUCCCUGUGUUUCUCUGACCGUUCCCAACUAACUACUACUCCUUCGUUUCAGUCCAGUUCACUGUCUCGAGGUCAAUUCAGUUUUGCUCCAUAUCGUAACACAUUUGGCUCAACCAGGAAAAAAAGGACACUCAAGAGAUACAUGUCUAAGACACACUUUAUUUGCCCUGUAUGUGGGAAGAGCUUUGAGCGUAUUGGUCACUUGGAAAGGCACAAGCUAAUCCAUACAGGAGAGAAACCAUACAGCUGUGAGAUUUGUGGGAGGCGUUUCAACCAGAAAAGUACCUUGAAGGGGCAUCUGAAGACCCACAGAAAUGGGUCUUUGGUGGUACAGGCGAACACAGGACAGACACGUGGUCCUGAGGCACACCAUUUGGGGGAUGACGGGAGCAAAGGGGGGGAAGACCCCAAAUCUGCAGCCGACGUGCAGAUGAAGGCCGAACCUGGGGAGAAAACUUCUUUCCAGCAGCUCCAUCAUGAAGAGGACGAACACACUAGAGAGAGACCAGACCUUGAAGAACUGAGAAUGGUUGAGGGAGAGCAUCAGCAAUGGGCAUCCAGCUCACAUGCGGACAGUGAUAAUGGAACCAGCAAUCCUGAGUAUUUCAACAGUUCAGGACAGAGCUCCAUGAGUCUCUCCGGACUCUCUCCAAUACUUCCUGUUCCUGGUGCAAUGGAAGCCUCCUGUAGCACUAUGUCAUUCCCAGCUAUGGUCUCCCAGCAACAGUAUGGACACACGGAAACACCCCUGAUAUCAAGCGAUGGUACAGUCCAUCCAACCUUUCAUCCUGGCUUGCCUAAGAAAACAAGAGAUGUCCAAAUUGUAAAACCAAAGAGAUAUUUCAUCUGUUCAACAUGCGGCAAAAGUUUUGAGCGAAUUGGUCACCUGGAAAGACACCAGCGAAUCCAUACAGGGGAGAAACCGUACAGCUGUGAAAUAUGUGGGAGAUGCUUCAAUCAAAAAAGUACUCUGAAAGGCCAUCUCAAAGUUCACAUAAAUGGCACUGGCACUGAAGCAGUUGAGGGAUAUCAGCCUGUUGAUAAGAAGACCGUCCACCCAACAGACACAGAGAACCCUGGGAAACAAAAGCAGUUGCCUUCCCACGCUAUGUCCAGCCCUGGAUAUAGUGAGGGGAGCAGCAGACCCGACUCAAUGGUCAAAGCAGAGCGAAAGACUCUUGAAACCCCAGCGCUCAACCAACCAGGAAGUGAACAUGUGCCGGUAGGUCCGGACCCACUGGCCCAAAGCUACGUCAUGGACGGAAGAGACGGUCAGCUGUGGACCCCUGCGACCGACAGGACUGGGGACGAACAGCCGGCCAUUCCGGGUUGUUCUGAUACCACCUCUCAGUUUGAUCCUAAUUUUAAGUAUCGGAACAGUCCGUUUGAGGGGGCGCAGAGUGCACACCGGUGCUUUACAUCACCUAGUGCAGUUGAGCAAGGAAUGUCUUUUCUCAAUGAGAAAGACAAGAUGGAGAUGAUUCAGCAAGAGCAGUAUGCUAUGAUGGCGUUGCAGUCGCGGAACAUUGACAUGACGGGACUCCCAGGGUUGCAUGGACAGGUAGAUACUGUGGAGGAAAGGGUGAUGAGGGAGCACAUGGCAGAGUCCAACGAUAGUCAGGAGGGAAGUUUGUUUGCGUUAGGGGUCAACACGUUUGAUGAUUCAAAGGUGGGCGAUGAUGUAGACACCACGAGACAAAAAUGUUUUAUAUGCUCAACUUGUGGAAGAAGCUUUGAUCGCUUCAGCCAUUUUGAAAGACACCAGCGCACACAUACAGGUGAAAAACCCUACAAUUGUGAAAUAUGUGGAAAAACUUUCACUCAGAAGUGCAGCCUGAAAGUGCACCAAAAACUUCACAUAAAAGAUUGAGUUUCAUCAUUACGACAUGUACAGUAUGCUUUACUGUGCUUAGAGAUCAUAUAGAAGUGUAUAUAAUUAACUGAUGUGUUUUUCAAUAUAAAGGUUUUCACGAAACAGUUGAGGGCAAUAUUUGUGUAUGCAUAUGUAUGCGUGUUAUAUAUCUGUUCUGAUCCUUUUAGAACUGCACAAGAGUAAACUGUAGCUGAUAAGGCCUUGUAUAUUGGGGAGCGUGCCUAUGUUCCCAGAGCACUAUGUUCCCACAGCACUAUGUUCCCACAUUUCUAAGAGCUUUUUCAAAAUUAAGGGUUCACCAUUCCGUAGCUGCGAUUUGAAGGAGCUAGCUAGCUUCCAAACUCUCUUGACCCUAACCCUAAAUAAAUCUGGGAACAGGUCUGUGGGAACAUAGGGCUGACACCGUAUAUUGUGCUUCUCGUGCUGUGUACCCAUUUGUGGGACAACAGUUUUAUCUUAGAACAUACUCGAUCCAUCCAUGUAUUUUCUAUGGAUCUCGAAUACAUUUAGAAGGUUAUCUACCUUCGUUGUAUAUGUAAUAGUUUUUGCGUUUUCAUGUAAUGUCAUUUAUCAUGUUUACGGUAGUCGCUCUACUCCCACCGGAAGAAGCCUUGUAGAAGAACUCGACACCCCUGGAUCAUACAUUUUUUUUAUUGUUAAGUCUCUCAAUGUAGCAUAAGGAUUUGGAUGCAGUUUUGAAGAGUAUACAAUGUUGGUGUGUUUGUGAAUUUUAUAUUUACAAAUAAACCAUAACAAUGUCGACGUGCAGGCCAACCACCUUUCAGACACAACUAACCGCGAUUAUGGAGGUCUUGACUAAGGCUGCAGUGGCAGAAAUUUCAAGGCUGGUCGACGAUAGAUGUACUGUAUUACAUUUAGAAGUCUCCCGACAUCAAAAUGAAAAUGACAUUCUCAAGGGGAAAUUGCUCAAGGUUGAAAGCGAACUAAAAAGCGAACGAACACGGCGCAGUACCGUAGCUGAUACCUACGUGGAGAAAGUAGGAGGGCCUCCAGAUUGGAGAGCAAAUCAGAGGCCAGAUGAAGACCCAGCGUUUGGAGCUGGAGUCAGCAUGAAACCGUUCACUGUACAUUCCGAGCCUGCAGAUAUAGACACCACUAAGUCCCUUAUGAUUAAAGAGGAGAGGCCAGAUGAGGAACUAUGGACAAACAAUACACAUAGUGAUGGUUUGCAACUUCCAGGAAGUAUUCUCUACCACGAUGUCCUUGAGGAAUUCCAGAUUGAGAAUCAACACUUUGAGGAUGAGCUUCACACCCAACAGUCACAUUCCAAAGAACCAAAUAAACAUUGUGAAAAACCCAGAUAUUCAACAGAAGAUUCAAACUCGAGCAGUACAGGACACAAUGGGGUGGAGACCAAUGUUUUUGUUGUGAAACUGGAGAAGGAGGAAGAGCUUUCUGAGUUUCUAUUGGAUGCAUGUCAACACAGCACAGGGAAACAAAAUCCUACAGGUAUUGGGUUUGCCAUGGAUGAAAGAGACAGUCAGCUGUGGGCUUCGAUAGUUCAAGAGAAUCCCAACAUUGACGCCGACUUUCCUACUUUCUCCAACGUAGCAGACCAGUAUUCUCAGACUUUUUCAGACUGUUCAGAGGCAGCCCCAUUCUCAGCCUCCAAAGAAUCUUCGGGGUUGUCUCAGUCUACUCCACAGAGCCCCUGCAAAGUCAUGGCAAGCAAUGUUCAUCUCAAAGAUAAACUUGCACCUCAGUUCAUGUCCACAUUUCAUUGCAUGCCUCAGCGCUCACAGAGAAAUGACCACAUCUCACUUACUGAUCAGCAAAUGCUUGAAAAGUCAACCGCAUCUCAUUCAGGAAUGACUUUCCCAACCAGCAAUCAACUGGGCAUAUCUCACCACACAAAAAACAACUUUGCGGCAGCUAGAAGGGACAAAUUCACCUCCCAACGUGGCAAAACGUUCAGUCGCUCGCCUUACAUCAAGAUACACCAGCAAGUUAUCCCGGGACACGAGUCCCUUAGCUGCGACAUCUGUGGGAAGAGGUUUGCGUCGCUCGCUCACCUGGUCCAACACAACCGCGUUCACACCGGGGAGCGUCCGUUUGGUUGCGCCACGUGUGGGAAGCGCUUCUCGCAGAAAGGGAGCCUGAAAGCCCACCAGCGCAUCCACAGCGGCGAGAGGCCGUUCUGCUGCGCUCAGUGUGGCAAGACCUUCACUCUCAAGCACCACUUGAAGAGGCACAGGCUGAUUCACACAACAGAGAUGACUGAGAGAGGACUCCAACUGCCCGUGGAGAAAGACUCACUUAUACCCUGGAGAGGAUAAACGUUACUCUUGUCAGUCAAAUGUUGUACUUUUGAUAUAUGAAAUACUACUCCGCUGUUGAUAUUGUAAAUUAAAGGUUUGUCAUGAAAGGGGAUACGCUUUUGUGAACAAGAUUAAUUUGGUCACAAGUAACAUUUAAGUGUAUUUGUCCUGUAGAGCAUCACAUGUAAGCAGUACCUUUCCAUUUCAAGGUCCAGGAUUUAAAAAUAUUCAGAGUGUGUCAAAUGUGUUUGACUAUGUUUGGAUCCUAUAAUGACAAUCCUGGCCUCUUUUGUUAAAAGCAUCCCUAUGCACAAGACAGUUAACAGGGUUUUUGAACUUUCACCAGAGGGCAGUGUGAAUCAAGCUCAACUGUGAAACUGUUUUAAACAGGAUCCAGGCACAGGAUUUGGUAGUAGAACAGGAACAACCUACUUUGACUGACUUUAAUGUUUACCUCUCCAUCGCUGUCACUAGAACAUCAAUUUCAGUGCAAAUCUCAGACAAAGACAAGACAAAAGAUGAAAAGGCCUCGGGUCAUGAAACA